GUUGAAACAUCGGUUCCCAUGGGAUAACUGCAGUUAAGCCAUUUCGAGUCUGGUCAGUAGUUAGAUGGGUGACCACUUGGGAAAACCCGGAGCUGGAA